CAGUAGCCACGGGAAUACGUAGGGGGCUAGCGUUGUCCGGAAUCACUGGGCGUAAAGGGUUCGCAGGCGGAAAUGCAAGUCAGAUGUAAAAGGCAGUAGCUUAACUACUGUAAGCAUUUGAAACUGCAUAUCUUGAGAAGAGUAGAGGUAAGUGGAAUUUUUAGUGUAGCGGUGAAAUGCGUAGAUAUUAAAAAGAAUACCGGUGGCGAAGGCGACUUACUGGGCUCAUUCUGACGCUGAGGAACGAAAGCGUGGGUAGCAAACAGGAUUAGAUACCCCCGUAGUCCCUGUCUCUUAUACA
rnacentral:rRNA from 1 species